rnacentral:rRNA from 1 species
GACGAACGCUGGCGGCGUGCCUAAUACAUGCAAGUCGAGCGGACCUCUUCGGAGGUCAGCGGCGGACGGGUGAGUAACACGUGGGCAACCUGCCUGUAAGACUGGGAUAACACCGGGAAACCGGUGCUAAUACCGGAUAAUCCUUUUCCUCACAUGAGGGAAAGCUGAAAGACGGCAUCUCGCUGUCACUUACAGAUGGGCCCGCGGCGCAUUAGCUAGUUGGUGAGGUAACGGCUCACCAAGGCGACGAUGCGUAGCCGACCUGAGAGGGUGAUCGGCCACACUGGGACUGAGACACGGCCCAGACUCCUACGGGAGGCAGCAGUAGGGAAUCUUCCGCAAUGGACGAAAGUCUGACGGAGCAACGCCGCGUGAGCGAAGAAGGCCUUCGGGUCGUAAAGCUCUGUUGUCAGGGAAGAACAAGUACCGGAGUAACUGCCGGUACCUUGACGGUACCUGACCAGAAAGCCACGGCUAACUACGUGCCAGCCGCCGCCGUAAAAC